AGUGGAACAGGACCUAGGAGCAGAAGGUGCUGAGCUGUACUUAACCUGAUUUGGUGGUGUACAUGGUGACCAAAGGAGACUCCUAAUCUGAUCUUCAGUAAAUCAGAGUCCAGCAGCUGACAAAGAGAGUGUCUAUGGAGUGGGCCGGAUCUAAACCUUGUGGCGCCCAGGGUGAAAAAAUAGGGGCGUGGCUUCAUGGAGAAGAGGCGUGGUCAGGAGAGGUCGUGUUUUGACUAGAGUUUUUAAAGUUGCUUAUAGAUCCAGAAUAUUGAUACAUUUCCUCUGCAGACAGGACUGAAGAGCUAUAGUUCCCAAACCCUUAGGACUCACAUCUGUUUUAAUGAAUUCCAGACAAUAAAACUGCAUACACAUU